CUUAUAUGAGGACACCAUUUGGUAUUUAUACCUCUUCAAGGGCUGAGAUUGUUGCGGGGACAUAGUCAAGCUGGCGAGCUCCAUGGUUUGACACAAUGAUCCCUGCUGCACCAGCUUGAAUCGCUAUCCUUGCUGCAAUUGGAUAAGUAUAGUUGACAUGGUUAGGUAUUUGUAUUAAACUUAAGUGAAGAAGACAUUUGUUUUUUCAGAUGGUAACUCACCAUCCUCUCCUGUAAUAACACCCUUGACAAGAAUCGGCAUUUUGGUGAUUGUCUGGAGCCAUUGGACAUCCUGUUUGUGUAAAUGAAAGUUAGAGCUGUUCAAAAUCAAAUUUCUGUUCUAACUACUUGGUCUUGUACCUUCCAGCUCAAGGUACGGUCAAUUUGACCAGCAACAUAUGAAGCCAAGCCAGAGUCAUUGGCCUGCAGGUGGAAACGUAAACAUAACAAGUCUGCUUUAAGACUUGUCUUGUGACAAUCAUGUUUAGACUAUAAUGCUAGCUAGUAUCUGAUGGAUGCUUACCUCGUCCAUCUUUCCGAGGUCGAGACCUUCAAAGUUUUUCAAUGUCAGGUUUGGAGGCAAAGUGAAUCUGUAGCAGGAGAACGCACAUCAAGUUAUACUUUCUGUCUAUGUAUUUGCAUAUUAAAUAACAGUCAGCUCUUGUCACAUUUAAACUGACUUGGCUUUACCUGUUCUUGAUAUCAGACUCUCUUCGGCCAAGCCUUGGGGUGUCUACAGUGAGAGCAAUGGCUUUGAACCCCGCCCUCUCGGCUCUUCUCACGAGCUGCUCAACCACUUUCCUGUUCUUGUAUACCUACUCAGAACAAUCAUAACGUGUGAGCCAUCAAGUGCGACCAGAUUUAUCGACAAGCGAGUAAGAUUGCUUACAUAGAGUUGGAAGAAACGAAUCCCUGGGCCUGUGGAAGCAACUUCUUCAACACUGGAAGUAGCCCAUGACGACAGUGUCUGAAUCGCAAACCAGAUACAUGGGUAAGCAUGGAUUUUAAGAUGAAUAAACUCCAAUCAUGGAAAAGUUAUAAGAAUCAUUCUUAAUGAUGUAAUAACAUACCAUGAUGGUUCCAGCUGCAGACGCAGCUCUAGCCGUAGCAUAUUCCCCUGUAUUAAUUUCCCAUCACAGUCGUUAGAGCUAAGCCUUAGUCUUUGUCUCUAGACGAUACUAAAAAACUAGUUUCUCAUUCUAUACGUAACUUCUUUCUACAGAAUGUUUCAAGAGAGCAGACAUCUUUACCUUCCGGGUGAGCCAUCUUUUGCAUGGCAGUAGGAGCAACCAUGAUCGGCAUGGAGAUCUUGAAACCCAAGAUGGUUGUUGUCAUAUCAAUCUUGCUCACAUCAAUCAGAAUCCUAGGCCGAAAGCUGUUAACAUUCCACAAGGUAUGCUAUAUCAGAUUCACAUCUGUUGUAAAUAAAACUAAUAACAAAAAAGUUGCGUCUUAUGAAAAAAGAAAAACUGACAGGAUCCUAGCGAAAGCAUUUCUGUUCUCUUGAAGAGUCCACUGGUCCUCUGCACCAGAGGCAUAGUAGUCGUAUACCAUCUUAGGCAACUUCUCCUUUGCAAUCGCUUCAUACUCGGUAACGUUUGUAAUCUCCAUUUUUCCAAACUGAGCCUCGCGAGAGAGAGAUGAAGGUGUUGUGAGUGGCAAAGAAACCUUAUAUAAUUUUUUUUAAUAUAUAUCUGAAAGUUUAUAUAUCUGGUUUAGAGUUAAAGUAUUUUGUGUGUUGUGACAGUUGAAAAAUUGUUGGCAAUGGAUGAGGUUCUAAAGGUGAAGAAUGGAUCAGGAGAUACGGACAAAGAUGAGACGGGAUAGUGUGUGUCUAAUUCACAAGCAACUUGUGUGUUCCUUAGUUUUUCUUUCAUAUUAUCGUUCUUAAAUAAGUAAAUAGUAAUUCGUCAGCCAAUUCUUUUCUUUUUCUUUUUGAAGGAUAUAGAAAUCCAAGAGAUGAUGAAAGUGAAGCAAUAAACCUAAUGGUAACGUUCAAGCCCAAUCUUGCUUGGACAUUUCUAUGGUAGGUAGAGCCCAAUUAACCUCUCUGGCUCUCUUUAGUCUUUACUAUUGAACUGUUGUGUUUGACUUUUGAUGAUGGUUAUACUGUGAUUUGUGAACCGAAUGCUAGUUGUGUCUAUUGUAUAAGGAAGAAGAAUGGGACUGAAGGUAGAAGUAGGCAAAUAGCAUUACAGGGAAUCUCUAGUCAUUGUUUUGUAUUUUGGAUACAAGGAGAGACAAGUCUUUUGAAAUAAAUAGCCAAAGUGAUCAAUCAGAAGAAUAUCAAUAGGUUUAAUCCAUUGCAUAGCUCUGUGUUGUUGCUGUUCUCUGUUUUUUGUGUUUGCCUCUCUAUAACUUGGGCAAAUGGCGUGGAGUUUCCCACUCGGUGAUAAUGUGGUUGCGAGUGAUCUCACUGAGAGACCUGCACCCACUAAGUGCCAUGGUUAGCUCGAACUCAUCGCGUAACAUUUGAAGAACUUUUCUGACUCCAGCUUCUCCUUCAGCAGCGAGUGAGAACACCACUGGUCUACCAAUCUGAUACAAAAUAAUGUGUUAUUAGUACUGUCAAUGGUUUCAAGCAGCUUUGUGGUAAUUUGGAAUUAUGAUGCUUACGAAUCUGAUACAAAAUAGUCUGUUAUUAGUACUCUCAAUGGUUUAAGGCAGUUUCUGAUAUCUGGAAAUAUGAUGCUUACAAAGAUCCCUGAGGCUCCAAGUGCAAGUGCCUUGAAGACAUCAGUUCCACGUCGAACACCACCGUCCAAGAAGACAGGAACUCGUCCUUGUGUCGCUUUGACAACCUGAACACACGAGAAGAGAGUUGAAAAUUUUGGACAGAACAACUUUCAUGAGAAGAAAAAUUGAUGCAUGUAGUCGACACUGAUCUUACCUCUUCAAGGGCUGAGAUUGUGGCUGGCACAUAGUCAAGCUGGCGAGCUCCAUGGUUUGACACAAUGAUCCCUGCUGCUCCAGCUUGAAUCGCUAUCCUUGCUGCAAGAGGGUAAUAAUAGUUGACAUGGUUAGGUUUUAUUGUGAAAAUAAAGUGAUGAAACAUGUGUAACUCACCAUCUUCUCCUGUAAGAACACCCUUGACAAGGAUCGGCAUGCUCGUGAUUGUCUGGAGCCACUGCACGUCCUGUUUUUUGUACAUGAAAGUUAGUGAAAAUUGAAUCAAGUUUCUGUUUCCAACUACUCGGUUUUGCUAUGCUAUCUUCUGAUUUGUUGUAUUCUCUUACCUUCCAGCUUAAAGUACGGUCAAUUUGACCAGCAACAUAUGAUGCCAAGCCAGAGUCAUUGGCCUGCAGGUUACAACACAACAAGUUCAAG
rnacentral:lncRNA from 1 species